rnacentral:misc_RNA from 1 species
GCAUUCUGGGGGCUGUUUUGGCUUUUGGUUGCUUGCUUGGCUUUUUGCUGGGUGGGUCGCUACUAGUCGGACGGUUUUCGGGAAUGUCGACCGUAAAGGUGCAUGAGUGGUGUUUGGUUUGUUACGGGUGGUUGGCUGUCUGCUCGCGCAGCAACGUCCAUGCGUGCAUACCUCUUCAGUUUUGCGGCAAGGCUUUAAUUGUCUUGAGCAUAUUGUGGGUUUCUUGUGUUCCAUACCUAAUCGAUGGUAAUGUGUGGGUUUUAUGAUGUCCCUUUUCKUCUUCCRUNGCUCAUGCGGUGUGGGAUGACCAUUGAAGCGGUAUUUGUGAUCCAUAUUGUUGUUUCAUUUUCAACGAUGAUGUGGCUCAUGAACGAUCGUUUGGUUUCUUGUAUACGGAACCUAAUGCGGCCAUGGGUCUUUUAUAAGAUCUUGAAUUUGCCUUUGUUAAGCGUUCUUGCUUCUCUAAAACGAUUGCCUACCAUGUCUUGGCUUGUCCUUGCAUGGUGGGCUACGUCGA